rnacentral:rRNA from 11 species
UGGGGAAUUUUGGACAAUGGGCGAAAGCCUGAUCCAGCAAUGCCGCGUGUGUGAAGAAGGCCUUCGGGUUGUAAAGCACUUUUGUCCGGAAAGAAAUGGCUCUGGUUAAUACCUGGGGUCGAUGACGGUACCGGAAGAAUAAGGACCGGCUAACUACGUGCCAGCAGCCGCGGUAAUACGUAGGGUCCAAGCGUUAAUCGGAAUUACUGGGCGUAAAGCGUGCGCAGGCGGUUGUGCAAGACCGAUGUGAAAUCCCCGAGCUUAACUUGGGAAUUGCAUUGGUGACUGCACGGCUAGAGUGUGUCAGAGGGGGGUAGAAUUCCACGUGUAGCAGUGAAAUGCGUAGAGAUGUGGAGGAAUACCGAUGGCGAAGGCAGCCCCCUGGGAUAACACUGACGCUCAUGCACGAAAGCGUGGGGAGCAAACAGG